UACACACUCAAAUCGAGAAUUUCAGCUCGGUAAAAUUAUUUACUGAUUUUAUUCGCUGUCUCAGUAGUUCAAAAAAGAAUACUGAGUUCCGGUAAUAAGCAUUACCGAUCUACUCUGUAAUAAGAAAAUGUUCUGAAGUUGUCAAAAAAUAUGCCGAUCACUCAGUAAAAUCAAAAGUGCUUUACUGAACACCCGUUAAAGCAAAUACCGAGCUCAGUUUCCAACCACAUGCUCCCUGAUGUGACGCCAUUUUUACUACUCGGAAUCGGAUCAAUUUCAUUAUACACGAUUUUUUUUCGUACUUGAUUAGUGGUACCAGAAAAAACAUGAUCUCAACUUAAUGUUCAGACUAAUAUUCACAACCAGUAUUUCACAUCCCUGCUGCUGAUGCUUCGUUUCCAGUAAAUUUUGUUUCAAUUCUAGAUCCUAGAGUCCAUAAUAAAUCUUCAGAUAUAAACUUUCUGGAAGAAAAUGCGGUCGUAUGCCACCAUCUCUAAAUUAGCUUCCCGAGAUAUGAGUGAAGUAGCGCUACUUGAGGAAGACAAAAAAAGAAAAAUAUCACAUCAAAUAUUCCACAACCC